rnacentral:misc_RNA from 1 species
UCCGGCUUACACCGGCGGUCUCCUGUGAGUGCCCGACUUUCUCGCUGGUAACACAGGACGUGGGUUGCGCUCGUUGGCGGACUUAACCGUACACCUCACGGCACGAGCUGACGACAGCCAUGCAACAAGUGUCUUCACGUCCCCUUGUGGGGGAGGGACCGAUUUCUCGGCCUUGCGAUCGAUGUCAAGUCUGGGUAAGGUUCUUCGGUUAGUAUCGAAUUAAUCCACAUGCUCCACCGCUUGUGCGGGUCCCCGUCAAUUCAUUUGAGUUUCAACCUUGCGGCCGUACUCCCCAGGCGGGAUACUUAGUGCGUUAGCUGCGGCACAGGAGGGGUCGAUACCUCCUACGCCUAGUAUCCAUCGUUUAGGGCGUGGACUAC